ACUAUAAAUACUGUGUCCUAAAUUAGAAUUGCAAAAUAUAUAUGUGCAACUUAUCGCUUAGUCAUUAACUCUCAGUUGUAUACAUCUAUAUUUUGCAAUUCUAAUUUAGGACACAGUAUUUAUAGU